GUAGUUGGUUAAGCAGUCGCUGUAUUUAUUUAAAAUACAGAGGAAAGUCCGGGCUUCACAGGACAAGGUGCCAGGUAACACCUGGGAGACGUAAGUCUACGGAAAGUGCCACAGAAAAUAUACCGCCAAUUUCAGUUAGCAGUUAUCAGUUAUCAAUGAAUAUUAGAUAAUUAAUUGUGAUAACUGCUAACUGCUAACUGAAAGAGGUAAGGGUGAAAAGGUGUCGGUAAGAGCGCACCGCGUUGGUGGUAACAUCAAUGGCAAGGUAAACCCCACCUGAAGCAAGACCAAAUAGGGGAAUAGUAGACGCCGCUAAGGCGACUACCGAUGUGGUCCGCAUUAUUCCCGGGUAGGUUGCUAGAGGUAUUUGGUGACAAAUACCCCAGAUGAAUGACUGCUACAUUGCUUGCUAUAAGUAAUGAACAGAACCCGGCUUAUCGAUCAACUACCUUU
rnacentral:RNase_P_RNA from 1 species